rnacentral:rRNA from 1 species
AGACCGCCAGCUAAGGUCCCCAAAUAUGGCUAAGUGGGAAACGAAGUGGGAAGGCUAAAACAGUCAGGAGGUUGGCUUAGAAGCAGCCACCCUUUAAAGAAAGCGUAAUAGCUCACUGAUCGAGUCGUCCUGCGCGGAAGAUGUAACGGGGCUAAGCCAUAUACCGAAGCUGCGGAUGCGAGCUAGUCUCGCAUGGUAGGAGAGCGUUCCGUAAGCCUGCGAAGGUGCGUUGAAAAGCGUGCUGGAGGUAUCGGAAGUGCGAAUGCUGACAUGAGUAGCGAUAAAGGGGGUGAAAGGCCCCCUCGCCGUAAGCCCAAGGUUUCCUACGCAACGUUCAUCGGCGUAGGGUGAGUCGGCCCCUAAGGCGAGGCAGAAAUGCGUAGCUGAUGGGAAGCAGGUCAAUAUUCCUGCACCGUCGUUAGAUGCGAUGGGGGGACGGAUCGCGGAAGGUUGUCCGGGUGUUGGAAGUCCCGGUCGCUGCAUUGGAGAAGGCGCUUAGGCAAAUCCGGGCGCAGGAUUCAAGGGUGUGGCGCGAGCGCUCUAGGGCGCGAAGCAAUUGGAAGUGGUUCCAAGAAAAGCCUCUAAGCUUCAGUCUAACGAUGACCGUACCGCAAACCGACACAGGUGGGCGAGAUGAGUAUUCUAAGGCGCUUGAGAGAACUCGGGAGAAGGAACUCGGCAAAUUGGUACCGUAACUUCGGGAUAAGGUACGCCCUGGUAGCUUGACUGGCCUGCGCCAGAAGGGUGAAGGGGUUGCAAUAAACUGGUGGCUGCGACUGUUUAAUAAAAACACAGCACUCUGCAAACACGAAAGUGGACGUAUAGGGUGUGACGCCUGCCCGGUGCCGGAAGAUUAAAUGAUGGGGUGCAAGCUCUUGAUUGAAGUCCCGGUAAACGGCGGCCGUAACUAUAACGGUCCUAAGGUAGCGAAAUUCCUUGUCGGGUAAGUUCCGACCUGCACGAAUGGCGUAACGAUGGCCACACUGUCUCCUCCCGAGACUCAGCGAAGUUGAAGUGUUUGUGAUGAUGCAAUCUACCCGCGGCUAGACGGAAAGACCCCAUGAACCUUUACUGUAGCUUUGCAUUGGACUUUGAACCGAUCUGUGUAGGAUAGGUGGGAGGCUAUGAAACCGGAACGCUAGUUUCGGUGGAGCCGUCCUUGAAAUACCACCCUGGUUUGUUUGAGGUUCUAACCUUGGCCCGUGAUCCGGGUCGGGGACAGUGCAUGGUAGGCAGUUUGACUGGGGCGGUCUCCUCCCAAAGCGUAACGGAGGAGUACGAAGGUACGCUAGGUACGGUCGGAAAUCGUGCUGAUAGUGCAAUGGCAUAAGCGUGCUUAACUGCGAGACCGACAAGUCGAGCAGGUGCGAAAGCAGGUCAUAGUGAUCCGGUGGUUCUGUAUGGAAGGGCCAUCGCUCAACGGAUAAAAGGUACUCUGGGGAUAACAGGCUGAUACCGCCCAAGAGUUCAUAUCGACGGCGGUGUUUGGCACCUCGAUGUCGGCUCAUCUCAUCCUGGGGCUGUAGCCGGUCCCAAGGGUAUGGCUGUUCGCCAUUUAAAGAGGUACGUGAGCUGGGUUUAAAACGUCGUGAGACAGUUUGGUCCCUAUCUGCCGUGGGCGUUGGAAGUUUGAAGGGGGCUGCUCCUAGUACGAGAGGACCGGAGUGGACGAACCUCUGGUGUACCGGUUGUGACGCCAGUCGCAUCGCCGGGUAGCUAUGUUCGGAAGAGAUAACCGCUGAAAGCAUCUAAGCGGGAAACUCGCCUUAAGAUGAGACUUCCCCGGGGACUUGAUCCCCUUGAAGGGUCGUUCGAGACCAGGACGUUGAUAGGUCGGGUGUGUAAGCGCAGUAAUGCGUUCAGCUAACCGAUACUAAUUGCCCGUACGGCUUGAUCCU